CCCUUAUCAGCCAUCUCGUCUAGGAUAUCACCUUUGGGUAUGCACACAAAUCUCCCUCCAAAAGAAGGAGGCACCCUGACCGACCUAAAUCUCCUUGCCCACAGUCCACAUCCCAUAUCUCGCUCUCAUCAUUAUGGUCCUUAAGCUCUCUGGAUCUAGUAAAAAUCUAGCUGUAUACCAUGCAAUCAAAGCCUCCCACCUCAUAGCUAGAGACUGAACACCAACCCCUCAUCUCUCAGUGGCUGGGACACAACCUCCCAUGCCAAAAGGUGCAAACCACCCCCAUCUUUCAGUUGCGACCCC
rnacentral:lncRNA from 1 species